rnacentral:lncRNA from 14 species
CUUCAAAUGGCUACAAACAGAAGAAAACUGCAUGAACUUUACAAAUGCUGAAGCAGGGAGCAUGAAAGCCUCCUCAGUAUGCAUUAGUACAUUCUUCCCUGCACUCUACUUCCCCAGGCUAUCCAGAAUUAGCUGAAGACAGAAGCUGAAAAGGUUGUCAGCUUCUGCCAGGAUAGCUGCAUCUUACUCCUAUCACAGAUUUGACCCAAACAAGG